UCUACAGUCAGUUGGAUUUUUGGGUUAGUUUAGUGAAACAUGUGGGGAAUACCAAUGUUACACGGAACUCUUUCAGAAGAUAAAGUAGGAAGAAACCCUUCCUAACCCAGUUUAUGAUGUCAGCAUAACUGUGAUAUCAGAAUCCAAUAAGAACAUUACAAGAAACAAAAAUUAGCAAGUUGAAUCCAGUAAUAUCUGAAAGGACAAUGCAUAGUAACCAACUGGAGUUGAUUCCAGAAAUCGCACAGAGGACACACGGAGGGAAGAGCCAUGAAGGGAGUCCUCACCCAAAAUCAACUCUGAUACCACCUUGAUCAUGGAGCUCCAGCCUCCAGAACUAUAAUGAAAUGAAUUUCUGCUCUUUAAUUCUCUCAGAAAUAACUGUAUACUUCCAGGAGAGGAGAUGGCAUCUCUACACCUUUCUAUUCUAAAUUUGAUGACUUCAGCACCAUCACAUAAUCAGCCUUCAUCUCUUCCCAUGGACAGUGGACAUGCACUGAACUUGACAUUACACGAAGCUGAAGAAUUUUGCUCCUCGCUGUCUAGGCAAUGGGGGCGCCAGCGUGGCUCAGUUGGUUGGGCAUCCGACUUCAGCUCAGGUGAUGAUCUCAC